rnacentral:rRNA from 1 species
UACCAGCACCCCGAGUGGUCUGGACGAUUAUUGGGCCUAAAGCAUCCGUAGCCGGUUCUGCAAGUCUUCCGUUAAAUCCACCUGCUUAACAGAUGGGCCGCGGAAGAUACUAUAGAGCUAGGAGGCGGGAGAGGCAAGCGGUACUCGAUGGGUAGGGGUAAAAUCCGUUGAUCCAUUGAAGGCCACCAGUGGCGAAGGCGGCUUGCCAGAACGCGCUCGACGGUGAGGGAUGAAAGCUGGGGGAGCAAACCGG